rnacentral:rRNA from 1 species
GUAGCAUAAUCAUUUGUCUUUUAAUUAAAGGCUAGUAUGAAUGGUGAGACGAGAAGCUAACUGUCUUAAUUUUUUCUUUUAAAGUUGACUUGUGAGUGCAAAGGCUCACUUAAUCUCAUAGGACGAUCAGACCCUCUGGAGCUUGAAUUGUUUAAUUUUUUAUACUAGAAAUGUUAUUAAUUGAAUAAUUUUUGUUGGGGCGACAAAGAGUUAAAAUAACACUCUUUUAAUCAAACAUCAUGAAUGAAUUCUUGACCCUUUCAGUUAGAGCAAAAGACUAAGUUACCCUAGGGAUAACAGCGUAAUUUUUUUUGAGAGUUCAUAUCGAUAAGAAAGUUUGCGACCUCGAUGUUGGAUCGAAGAAUCAGUAAGGGGUAGUUUUUUUACUGGAGGGUCUGUUCGACCUUUAAAUCUUCACGUGAUCU